AAAAUCCUGUUAGGACUUUAGAUCACUUUUAAAGUCUUGAAAGUUAGUAGCCUUAGGCCAACUCCAAUGGGGAGUUCUCUGGUGCAUUUGUAUGGGUUCCCUUGUUAAAGUUACAAAAAAAUAAAUCUAAACUGAAAAUAAAUGAGAGAGCCAGCUCUCUAAAGAGAGUUUUUAGAAUUUGAGAGAGCCGCCUAAAUGUCACCAUCUGAUUGGUCGUGCAUUUUUAACAAAAAAAGAAAGAAAGAAGGAGAGUUAAAUAUUUUUCUUUGCCCGAUAUUUUCGCUCUCUCUCUCGCGAUUUUCUUCAAAUUCUAAUUUCAUCAAGAUUUU
rnacentral:sRNA from 1 species